UCGUCAUUACAUCCAUUUUCUUAGUGAAACAUCUGCUUUAUGCUAGAAAAGUAGCCAACAGAACACGUGGAAGGGUACGCUGGCAAGGCAUCGCUACUGUUCUUGUUACAGCUGCAGUCUACUGUGUCUCUUUUAUUCCCAAGGCAAUUCAUAUGUCGAUAAGAAUCUACGUGAAAAAUGAAUGGUAUCACGUGAUAGUUCCCCGGGUUACAGAGACACUGACGUAUUUCAACGUUUUCUCCAAUUUCUUUGUCUAUAGUCUUACAGUGCCCAGUUUUCGGUUGUUUCUUAAAACCAGGAUGGAACAGGCGACAUCAUCAACACAUCCUAGUGUAGAUCCAGAAAGAUCUGGAAGACACGGAAUAUCUGGAGAUAACAAGGGAGUGAUCAACAAUCAGCUGACAUCACAGGGCGGAAGUGAAGGGACAAUAUGCACACCGAACCGUACAUCAAAUAUGAUAACGAAACCUUGUAUGGAAUCCAAGACAAGGCAGGAAGAGAUCUUCUAACAUUAUAUAGCUCUACCAUAUUCCUAUCAUCACUCAUAGGAGACGUACUCAUAUUGAUAGGAACGCUUAGAUGCAAUGCAAUAAAACUACACAAGGUAAUGGUGGUAAUAAUCCAGUACAUAGCUCUCACCGACCUGAUCAUCGUCAUCUUUAGAGCCUUGCCUGGCUCCGUGUCUUUGGUAGCUGAAAGGUGGAUAUUUGGUGACUUCCUCUGUUAUGCUGGAUACGUUAUAAUCUGUACUGCUGGAGGGACUGCCUGUCUUCUCAUCCCUGUUCUCUCACUCACCAAGUUGCUGAUCGUAAAGUUCCCUCUGAGAGCGACAAGUAUCUCUACCAGGGCUGCUCAUUUUGCCACACUUAGCCUGGUGCUCUACUGCAGUUUUUCACCUGUGCUAGAAAUAAUUGUGGACAAAAAAAGUGCUUACUUCAGUUACCUUGACUACAAUUGUGACGUCGUCCAAUAUCUUCACCAUACUGCAGGUUCUACUAUCUGCACUGUCCUGGUUGGGUUGAGCGGGCUCCUUGCUACCAUGACAACUGUAGUGAGCAGUGUGAUGCUGGUUGAUGUUGCCAGGAAGAUGACUGAGAGGGGGCCAGGACAGCUCCAGUGGCAGGGACUAAUAACUGUGCUCCUCACUGUAGCAGUUUACUCAAUAGCUACCCUUCCUGGAACCAUCUACUUUAUAGGCAGCUGCCUCGUGGCUGAAAGCCAGGUAGAGCUAUUCAAGUUCUGGAAUGUCUACGUAUACAGGUUUUCUACUUACAUGGUCUUCCUCAACAUCAUCUCCAACUUCUACAUCUACACGCUCACUCUCACAAGCUUUAGAGAGUUCUUGAGAGCCAGGGUUAGAUUCCUGGUAUCCCCUCUCCUGAGAUGUUGCUCUCCGACUGGGUCAACAGAUGAAAGGGUCGGUGAGAAUGGAGAAAGACGUAGACUUUUGGAUUAAAUCUGACGUUUAACAUUUUUGAGCAAAUUAAAUCUAGAAAACAGUUUAAAUCAACAAAAAUGGUACUUGAUUUGCCGCCUGGAUUUGAUAAAACACUUUCUGAUUAUGAAGGUGGUCUUGGUAUUUUGAAUUUCAAUAUGACUUUUAAUAUAAUAAUAAUAUAAAAAUAAAUCAUAAAAUGCACGUUAAUUGCUGAUUGAUUAUAUUAGUCGUCCUUAAUUCAUUGGGUUAAAUUUAAUACUUUAAGUUUAAUGUGUAUGGCGGAGAAAAACUAUCCUGUUUGUAAGCGAACUUAGUAUUUGUUAUUCUAUUUUACAUAACUUCUCUGAUUUUGAAAUGUUCAACACCGUCACCAUGGU